GAUGAACGCUGGCGGCGUGCCUAAUACAUGCAAGUCGAGCGAACGGACGAGAAGCUUGCUUCUCUGAUGUUAGCGGCGGACGGGUGAGUAACACGUGGAUAACCUACCUAUAAGACUGGGAUAACUUCGGGAAACCGGAGCUAAUACCGGAUAAUAUUUUGAACCGCAUGGUUCAAAAGUGAAAGACGGUCUUGCUGUCACUUAUAGAUGGAUCCGCGCUGCAUUAGCUAGUUGGUAAGGUAACGGCUUACCAAGGCAACGAUGCAUAGCCGACCUGAGAGGGUGAUCGGCCACACUGGAACUGAGACACGGUCCAGACUCCUACGGGAGGCAGCAGUAGGGAAUCUUCCGCAAUGGGCGAAAGCCUGACGGAGCAACGCCGCGUGAGUGAUGAAGGUCUUCGGAUCGUAAAACUCUGUUAUUAGGGAAGAACAUAUGUGUAAGUAACUGUGCACAUCUUGACGGUACCUAAUCAGAAAGCCACGGCUAACUACGUGCCAGCAGCCGCGGUAAUACGUAGGUGGCAAGCGUUAUCCGGAAUUAUUGGGCGUAAAGCGCGCGUAGGCGGUUUUUUAAGUCUGAUGUGAAAGCCCACGGCUCAACCGUGGAGAGUCAUUGGAAACUGGAAAACUUGAGUGCAGAAGAGGAAAGUGGAAUUCCAUGUGUAGCGGUGAAAUGCGCAGAGAUAUGGAGGAACACCAGUGGCGAAGGCGACUUUCUGGUCUGUAACUGACGCUGAUGUGCGAAAGCGUGGGGAUCAAACAGG
rnacentral:rRNA from 1 species